UCCUGACCCGAGGGGGGCCCCCACGCCCGCUCUGGCCUCUCAGGUCAGGCCCUCCCCUCCCCUCCCCUCCCCUCCCCCGCCCCUGUGUCUCCGCGAGCCGGCUGUGUGCCUGCGAGAGCGUGCACACCCGCGGGACCUUCCCUUUUGUUCCACCCUGACCUCUACCUUCUCUACCUUGUGCUGACCCCGCUGGGGUGCAGGGGUUCCCUUCGGAGGAGGCCGGGGCUCAAGGUGUGCAGCUCGGCCGCCUCUCCCUAACUCUGCACCAGCGCCUUCUCUCUCUCUCUCUCUCUCUCUCUCUCUCUCUCUCUCUCUCAAGAUCUCCCUCCUGCUAAGUCUGCGCUGCUGCAGGAGGGCUGGGGGAAGGGCAGGGGUGUGGAGAGGGGGUGCCUGGUGUCUUCUUUCUCUCUCUGCCCCCACCAAGUGCGGACGCAUCGAGCUUCGGCCCCCACCCCUGCAUUCGCGAUUGGCUCCCGGAGGAGGUGGCUGGUGCUGCCGCCGCUGCAGCAUCUCCUAGGGAGCCGCGACCCUGCGCCCGCCGCCGCUGCCGCUGUCACCAGCCCGGCCCCAGGGGUGCCCUGGGCUCCGCGGCUGAGGCACCUAGGGAGUUGCCCCCCUAGUGGACGGCCUCUCAGGAGAUCCUGACCACCCUCUGGGAACCUGGACUCCUCCAAGCAUCGUCUUUCUCGCCUGCAUCUUCGGAGAGAGGUGCUGAGCCCUUCCUCAUGGAUACGGGGUCCCGGGAGGCAGCCUUCACCAGGGACCUGCCCAGGAAACCAGCAGAUGCCCAGGUCCCGCAGCCGUGGAGAGGACCCAGCAGGUGGCGCGGGGAGAGCCCGGCUCGGCACGUGGUCAGCUCCAAGUCAGCCCUGAAAUGUCCAUUACUCACAAAGAAAAGGAAAAUGCUCAUUUGAAAGAAAUUCUUCUCUUUGUCAAUGCUGAGGCAUUCUCUCAGCCCCAGCCCCACAGUGCUCCAGUGUGUGAAGGGCAACAGCUGACGGGGAAGUUCAGCACAUCUGUGCUGACCAGGGCUGGAGGCGAUGCCAGUCCGUGCAGCUGGGAACGCCUCCUCUGCUAUGGCUGGAGCCACUGCUGAAGGGACUCCACCUGGCACCUAUGCCACCAAUGGCCCCUGAACGGGUAUCUAGGCCCACCCUUAAUAAAGAUGAGCUGCUCAUUCCCAG
rnacentral:lncRNA from 1 species